UGGGGAAUAUUGCACAAUGGAGGGAACUCUGAUGCAGCGACGCCGCGUGAGUGAUGAAGGACUUCGUUUCGUAAAACUCUGUUCUAUGGGAAGAAAAGGACUGUACCAUAGGAGAAAGCUCCGGCUAAAUACGUGCCAGCAGACGCGGUAAUACGUAUGGAGCGAGCGUUGUCCGGAAUUAUUGGGCGUAAAGGGUGCGCAGGCGGCUUUACAAGUUGGAUGUGAAAUAUUGUGGCUCAACCACAAACGUGCAUCCAAAACUGCAAAGCUUGAGUUAAGGAGAGGUAAGUGGAAUUCCUGGUGUAGCGGUGGAAUGCGUAGAUAUCAGGAGGAAUACCGGUGGCGAAGGCGACUUACUGGACUUAAACUGACGCUCAGGCACGAAAGCGUGGGGAGCAAACAGG
rnacentral:rRNA from 1 species